AUUGAACGCUGGCGGCAGGCUUAACACAUGCAAGUCGAGCGAGCGGCGGACGGGUGUGUAAUGUCUGGGAAACUGCCUGAUGGAGGGGGAUAACUCCUGGAAACGGUAGCUAAUACCACAUACACUCAGAUGUGCCCAGCUGGUAUUAGCUAGUAGGUGGGGUACUGGCACACCUAGGCGCCGCUCCCUCGCGGGUCUGAGAGGAUCACCAGCCACACUGGAACUGAGACACGGUCCAGACUCCUACGGUAGGCAGCAGUGGGGAAUAUUGCACAAUGGGCGCAAGCCUGAUACAGCCAUGCCGCGUGUGUGAAGAAGGCCUUCGGGUUGUAAAGCACUUUCAGCGAGGAGGCGUUACUCGCAGAGGAAGCACCGGCUAACUCCGUGCCAGCAGCCGCGGUAAUAC
rnacentral:rRNA from 1 species